AUUGAACGCUGGCGGCAGGCCUAACACAUGCAAGUCGAACGAGUGGCGGACGGGUGAGUAAUGUCUGGGAAACGGCCUGAUGGAGGGGGAUAACUACUGGAAACGGUAGCUAAUACCGCAUACCAUCGGAUGAGCCCAGAUGGGAUUAGAUAGUAGGUGGGGUAAUGGCUCACCUAGGCGACGAUCCCUAGCUGGUCUGAGAGGAUGACCGUCCACACUGGAACUGUGACACGGUCCAGCCUCCUACGGAGGCCAGCAGUGGGAAAUAUUGCACAAUGGGCGCAAGCCUGAUGCAUCCAUGCCGCGUGUAUGAAGAAGGCCUUCGGGUUGUAAAAUACUUUCAGCGGGGAGGCGUUACCCGCAGAAGAAGCACCGGCUAAAUCCGUGCCAGCAGCCGCGGUAAUUC
rnacentral:rRNA from 1 species